UGGGGAAUAUUGCACAAUGGGCGCAAGCCUGAUGCAGCGACGCCGCGUGAGGGAUGAAGGCCUUCGGGUUGUAAACCUCUUUCAGCAGGGAAGAAGCGCAAGUGACGGUACCUGCAGAAGAAGCGCCGGCUAACUACGUGCCAGCAGCCGCGGUAAUACGUAGGGCGCAAGCGUUGUCCGGAAUUAUUGGGCGUAAAGAGCUCGUAGGCGGUUUGUCGCGUCUGCUGUGAAACCUCGAGGCUCAACCUCGGGCUUGCAGUGGGUACGGGCAGACUAGAGUGCGGUAGGGGUGACUGGAAUUCCUGGUGUAGCGGUGGAAUGCGCAGAUAUCAGGAGGAACACCGAUGGCGAAGGCAGGUCACUGGGCCGCAACUGACGCUGAGGAGCGAAAGCAUGGGGAGCGAACAGGAUUAGAUACCCUGGUAGUCCAUGCCGUAAACGUUGGGCACUAGGUGUGGGGCUCAUUCCACGAGUUCC
rnacentral:rRNA from 1 species